GGUUCGAUCAUAGCUCAGAUUGAACGCUGGCGGAAUGCUACACAUGCAAGUCGAACGGCAGCACGGACUUCGGUCUGGUGGCGAGUGGCGAACGGGUGAGUAAUGUAUCGGAACGUGCCUAGUAGCGGGGAUAACUACGCGAAAGCGUAGCUAAUACCGCAUACGCCAUCAAGAGAAAGCAGGGGACCUUCGGGCCUCGCACUAUUAGAGCGGCCGAUAUCGGAUUAGCUAGUUGGUGGGAGUAACGGCUCACCAAGGCGACGAUCCGUAGCUGGUUUGAGAGGACGACCAGCCACACUGGGACUGAGACACGGCCCAGACUCCUACGGGAGGCAGCAGUGGGGAAUUUUGGACAAUGGGGAAACCUGAUCCAGCCAUCCCGCGUGUGCGAUAAGGCCUUCCGGGUUGUAAAGCACUUUGGCAGGAAAGAAACGGCACGGGAUACAUGCCCGAUGCAACUGACGGUACCUGCAGAAUAAGCACCGGCCUAACGUGCCAGCAGCCCGCGGUAAUACGUAAGUGCAAGCGUUAAUCGGAAUUACUGGGCGUAAAGCGUGCGCAGGCGGUUCCGGAAAAGAAAGAUGUGAAAUCCCAGAGCUUAACUUUGGAACU
rnacentral:misc_RNA from 1 species